GUCCGGGUGGCGGAAUAGGCAGACGCGCUAGCUUGAGGUGCUAGUGGCCGGUGACGGCUGUGGGGGUUCAAGUCCCCCCUCGGACACCC
rnacentral:tRNA from 1 species